rnacentral:sRNA from 1 species
AACGGAUCGCACAGGCACCACUUGGUCUUUCCAUAGAAAACAAAAACAAAGUAAAAAAUAAU